rnacentral:tRNA from 1 species
GCAGAGGUGGUGGAAUGGUAGACACGCUAUCUUGAGGGGGUAGUGGAGAUUCUCCGUGAGGGUUCGACUCCCUUCCUCUGCACCA